rnacentral:rRNA from 1 species
UACGUAGGGUGCGAGCGUUGUCCGGAAUUAUUGGGCGUAAAGAGCUCGUAGGCGGUGUGUCGCGUCGGCCGUGAAAACCUGGGGCUCAACUCUGGGCGUGCGGUCGAUACGGGCAUCACUUGAGUUCGGCAGGGGAGACUGGAAUUCCUGGUGUAGCGGUGAAAUGCGCAGAUAUCAGGAGGAACACCGGUGGCGAAGGCGGCUCUCUGGACGGAUACUGACGCUGAGACGCGAAAGCGUGGGGAGCAAACAGG